rnacentral:lncRNA from 1 species
ACUAUCACUUCCCGAGGUUUUAAGGCGCUGCAAAAAAUGAACUUGAAAUAGGUGUGUAAACAUUAAAGUUGUUUAGCAAAUUCUCUAAAAGCUAUUUUUUUCUAUUUUAUAUUCAUUCAAAUUCCACCUGACAAUAUUAUUUUGCAGUUUUAAAAUAUGAAAAACCCAAGAAAUGACAAUGAACUGCUAUGAUAGCAAGCAGUUCCCCAGAAGAAUUCUCUUACACAUUUUGAAAUUGUGUAUUUUGGCUGAAAAUCACACUGUUUGUAAAGUUAAGCUAUUUGGAACUCAGAUGUCCUACAACUUUAUUUAACUUUGUCAAUGGGCAUUAUAACAAUAGAAGCCAAAGCAACUAUUAUCAAGACAGGCCACUGUCAGAAUGGUAGAAAAGGAAUUUGUCUUUGACGCCCUAUGCUCUGAUUCUCAUUAUGUCCUCUAAACCCUAUUCUCUUCAAAACCACUCCUAAAAAAAUUAGCUUUACAUAGAAACAUAAUAUCAUUAAACAAAAUACGUUACAGUUUUCCCCCAAUUCAGUUUCUCUCCCUUUCCCUCCCUCUUGCUUUGCUGUUUAUCAUCUUUACCUCACCACCUUCAUCUCUGUGGGUUCUACAUCAUUCCACACACUAUAUUUCUGUCUUCUAUGUCUUGGUGGGAAUUGGAGAGACAAUUUAGAGAAGAUGGGCCACAUAAUAAGCAGCAGAUGUUUGCUAUUUGUGGAUCAGUAAGGAAGAGCAACUUCAACUUGGCUUGGAUUCUUCCAGUCAAGCCAGACAAAGGAGAAAAGCAACGUCUUCUCUCUCUUUACCUCACUGCUUCCUACUGCAGAAGCAAAGAUUUAAAAAAUGGGAGGAAAAAAACAAACUGUGAAAACAGAAAAUAUAAAAAUCCAGAAAGUUUUAAUGUAUUUACCACCUAUGCUUUUAUAUUCCCAAUGCUGUAGGCUGUUAUCUUUAUUUCACACAUUCUGCAGAAUCUUUAAUUUAUUGAAUAAACACUAGACUCAAAUUUUAGCUUUAGAGAAGCUAAACAUGCCAUUGUAUGGGACAAGGUUUGCUUUUAAAAAUCUCUUUUAUUCUAAACAGUUAUUUUUCUACUUUGCAAAUGGAGAUUUUGGAGGAGUGGUAGUUGUUGAGAUGGGUUAAGAGAAAAGAGAAGCUUAAUAAAGAGGAGACCCAGGAAGCUUUCUUCUCUGUGCAGGCAGCAUAAAUGCACCAUGAUGGUAGUUAUUUAUAGAUGCCACCCUUGUGGUCUGAUUUGGAAAAAGUGAUUCUAAAAGUGGCCAUUUCAGGAUUACUAGGGGAGGACAAUGCCAUGGCAUAGUAGAAGGCAGUUGAGGGGUUUGGGAAAGUUGUGUUUACUGAACCGUACUCAAAGGCUGAACAGCUUUUACUCAAGAUUGGCUUGGCUUGAAACUCAUUGCUCUGUAACUUCAAGCUCCAUGAAGUGAGAGAUGUGUUGGUUUUUUCCAUCCUUGUUAACCCCAGGGAUUCUAGAGAGCCUGAUUCAAUAAAUGUAAAAUAAUCAUUGAAUGGAAAAAUAGCUUAAAAGAAGUACAUCUUGGGCUGGGGUUAUAGCUCAGUGGUUGAGCACUUGUCUCGCAUGCGUGAGACACUGGGUUUGAUCCUCAGCACCACAUAAAAAUAAAUAAAUAGAUAAAACAAAUACAGUGUGUACAUCUACAACAGAAAAAAAAUGGAAAAAAAAGUACAUCUUCAUGAUUUUCUCUUGGAGUUAAUGAUUUAAGGACAGACUGUAUUUGUGUUUACAUCUUGAUGAUCUGCUCUGCUAUUAUAUGACUUCUAAUUAAUAACAUUCAGUGUCAUAAAAUGUACCAGCUGCAAAGGACCUUACAGAUCUCUAAUCUGACUUUCUCAUAUGACAAAACCACGGCCUGCUUCCCUAAGCCCUUGUUCAACAGUAAGAGUCAGUGUUUCUUCACUGAGAACUCAGGUUCAAUGACUACCAAUCUAA